rnacentral:rRNA from 1 species
UGGGGAAUAUUGCACAAUGGAGGGAACUCUGAUGCAGCGACGCCGCGUGAACGAAGAAGGCUUUCGAGUCGUAAAGUUCUUUUAUAUGGGAAGAUAAUGACGGUACCAUAAGAAAAAGCCCCGGCUAACUACGUGCCAGCAGCCGCGGUAAUACGUAGGGGGCUAGCGUUGUCCGGAAUCACUGGGCGUAAAGGGUUCGCAGGCGGAAAUGCAAGUCAGGUGUAAAAGGCAGUAGCUUAACUACUGUAAGCAUUUGAAACUGCAUAUCUUGAGAAGAGUAGAGGUAAGUGGAAUUUUUAGUGUAGCGGUGAAAUGCGUAGAUAUUAAAAAGAAUACCGGUGGCGAAGGCGACUUACUGGGCCCAUUCUGACGCUGAGGAACGAAAGCGUGGGUGGCAAACAGG